rnacentral:lncRNA from 1 species
UAGCAGUUGGAGUUUUGAGACGGAGUCUCGUUCUGUCGCCCAGGCUGGAGUGCAGUGGUGUGAACUCGGCUCACUGCAAGCUCUGCCUCCCGGGUUCACGCCAUUCUCCUGCCUCAGCCUCCCGAGUAGCUGGGACUACAGGCGCCCGCCACCACGCCCGGCUAAUUUUUUGUAUUUUUGGUAGAGACAGGGUUUCACCGUGUUAGCCAGGAUGGUCUUGAUCUCAUGACCUUGUGAUCCACCCACCUCGGC